rnacentral:rRNA from 1 species
UACGGAGGAUGCGAGCGUUAUCCGGAUUUAUUGGGUUUAAAGGGUGCGCAGGCGGGCAGUUAAGUCAGCGGUAAAAGCCCGGGGCUCAACCCCGGCGAGCCGUUGAAACUGGUUGUCUUGAGUUGGAGAGAAGUAUGCGGAAUGCGCGGUGUAGCGGUGAAAUGCAUAGAUAUCGCGCAGAACUCCGAUUGCGAAGGCAGCAUACCGGCUCCAUACUGACGCUGAGGCACGAAAGUGCGGGGAUCGAACAGG